rnacentral:rRNA from 1 species
UGGGGAAUUUUGGACAAUGGGCGAAAGCCUGAUCCAGCAAUGCCGCGUGAGUGAAGAAGGCCCUUGGGUUGUAAAGCUCUUUCGGCUGGGAAGAAGGAACGGAUGCUAAUAUCAUCUGUGACAGACGGUACCAGCAUAAGAAGCACCGGCUAACUACGUGCCAGCAGCCGCGGUAAUACGUAGGGUGCAAGCGUUAAUCGGAAUGACUGGGCGUAAAGGGUGUGUAGGCGGUUUGUUAAGUCUGAUGUGAAAUCCCCGAGCUCAACUUGGGAACUGCGUUGGAUACUGGCAAACUAGAGUACGUAAGAGGGGGGUAGAAUUCCACGUGUAGCAGUGAAAUGCGUAGAGAUGUGGAGGAAUACCGAUGGCGAAGGCAGCCCCCUGGGACGAUACUGACGCU